GAUGAACGCUGGCGGCGUGCCUAAUACAUGCAAGUCGAGCGAACAGACGAGGAGCUUGCUCCUCUGAAGUUAGCGGCGGACGGGUGAGUAACACGUGGAUAACCUACCUAUAAGACUGGGAUAACUUCGGGAAACCGGAGCUAAUACCGGAUAACAUGUUGAACCGCAUGGUUCAACAGUGAAAGAUGGUCUUGCUGUCACUUAUAGAUGGAUCCGCGCCGCAUUAGCUAGUUGGUAAGGUAACGGCUUACCAAGGCAACGAUGCGUAGCCGACCUGAGAGGGUGAUCGGCCACACUGGAACUGAGACACGGUCCAGACUCCUACGGGAGGCAGCAGUAGGGAAUCUUCCGCAAUGGGCAAAAGCCUGACGGAGCAACGCCGCGUGAGUGAAGAAGGUCUUCGGAUCGUAAAACUCUGUUAUUAGGGAAGAACAAAUGUGUAAGUAACUAUGCACGUCUUGACGGUACCUAAUCAGAAAGCCACGGCUAACUACGUGCCAGCAGCCGCGGUAAUACGUAGGUGGCAAGCGUUAUCCGGAAUUAUUGGGCGUAAAGCGCGCGUAGGCGGUUUUUUAAGUCUGAUGUGAAAGCCCACGGCUCAACCGUGGAGGGUCAUUGGAAACUGGAAAACUUGAGUGCAGAAGAGGAAAGUGGAAUUCCAUGUGUAGCGGUGAAAUGCGCAGAGAUAUGGAGGAACACCAGUGGCGAAGGCGACUUUCUGGUCUGUAACUGACGCUGAUGUGCGAAAGCGUGGGGAUCGAACAGGAUUAGAUACCCUGGUAGUCCACGCCGUAAACGAUGAGUGCUAAGUGUUAGGGGGUUUCCGCCCCUUAGUGCUGCAGCUAACGCAUUAAGCACUCCGCCUGGGGAGUACGACCGCAAGGUUGAAACUCAAAGGAAUUGACGGGGACCCGCACAAGCAGUGGAGCAUGUGGUUUAAUUCGAAGCAACGCGAAGAACCUUACCAAAUCUUGACAUCCUCUGACCCCUCUAGAGAUAGAGUUUUCCCCUUCGGGGGACAGAGUGACAGGUGGUGCAUGGUUGUCGUCAGUUCGUGUCGUGAGAUGUUGGGUUAAGUCCCGCAACGAGCGCAACCCUUAAGCUUAGUUGCCAUCAUUAAGUUGGGCACUCUAAGUUGACUGCCGGUGACAAACCGGAGGAAGGUGGGGAUGACGUCAAAUCAUCAUGCCCCUUAUGAUUUGGGCUACACACGUGCUACAAUGGACAAUACAAAGGGUAGCGAAACCGCGAGGUCAAGCAAAUCCCAUAAAGUUGUUCUCAGUUCGGAUUGUAGUCUGCAACUCGACUACAUAAAGCUGGAAUCGCUAGUAAUCGUAGAUCAGCAUGCUACGGUGAAUACGUUCCCGGGUCUUGUACACACCGCCCGUCACACCACGAGAGUUUGUAACACCCGAAGCCGGUGGAGUAACCUUUUGGAGCUAGCCGUCGAAGGUGGGACAAAUGAUUGGGGUGAAGUCGUAACAAGGUAGCCGUAUCGGAAGG
rnacentral:rRNA from 1 species